rnacentral:lncRNA from 13 species
AUGAAAACUUGUGCAUACUUUUGGAAGAAUCCCACACUUCCUGAAAAGGGUAGAUCAGAUGUCCAGGAGAGGGAAGACAGUUGCCUGAAGAGCAUGACAUUUGCUCCAGAGAAUUUGUCAGUUAUUAACUCAUCUUCAGAAGAAAGAUGGAGUCUCGUUCUGUUGCCCAGGCUGGAGUGCAAUGGCACAACCUCAUCUCACUGCAACCUCCACCUCCUGUGUUCGAGUGACUCUCCUGCCUCAGCCUCCGCCUCCGGAGUUGGGGCUACAGGACUGCCUGAGCUGGGACUACAGGUGCAUGCCACCAGGCCCAGUUUGUUCAAGCACAAUGGGACGAUGAGAGGUGAUAUGAGUGACGGAAGGGGACAGUUGAAAGCAGUGAGAGACUCAAGCUGGAUUGAUGGCGUUCUGCCACGAGGUUACUCUGCCCAGCACCGGAACUAUGGUCAGAGCCCUCAUUUCCAUCACUGCCCUUCAGCAAAGAUGGAAUAAAUUCGUAGUUUAAAAUCUUCUGGAAAAGAACAGUCCCAGAUGAUUUUAUUGGACCAAACAUUUAAAGAAGAAAUAAUGUUAAUUUUACAUAAUCUUUUCCAGAAAAUAGAUGAGGAGGAAACUUCUCAACUCAUUUUAUGAAGUCAGAAUUACCCUGAAAGCACAACCAGACAAAAAUUGUACAAAAAUGGCCAAGCCCAGUGGCUCACACCUGUAAUCUCAGCAUUUUGUGAGGCUGAGGCGGGUGGAUCACUUGAGGUCAAGGCCAGCCUGGCCAACGUGGUAAAAUCCCAUCUCUACUAAAAAUAUAAAAAUUAGGCAGGCUUGGUGGUGCACACCUGUAGUCCCAGCUACUUUGGAGGCUGAGGCAGGAGAAUCACUUGAACCUAAGAGGCAGAGGUUGCAGUGAGCUGAGAUUGCACCAUUGCACUCCAGACUGGGUGACAGAGUGAUACUCCAUCUCAUAAAAAAGAGAGAAAAAGCCAGGUGCAGUGGCUCACACCUGUAAUCCCAGCACUUUGGGAGACCAAGGUGGGUGGAUCACGAGGUGAAGAGAUCGAGACCAUCCUAGUCAACUUAGUGAAACCCCUUCUCUACUAAAAAUACAAAAAGUAGCUGGAUGUGGUGGUGCACGCCUGUAGUCCCAGCUGCUCAAGAGGCUAAAGCAAGAGAAUUGCUUGGACCCGGGAAGCAGAGGUUGCAGUGAGCCUAGAUUGCACUGCACUCCAGCCUAGGCGACAGAGUGAGACUCCAUCUAAAAAAAAAUUCAGAUGUAACAUCAUACUUAAUGAUAAUAGGCUAAAUGCUGUUCCUCUAAAUUCGGGAGCAAGGCAAGAAUGUCCACUCUGACAACCAAUUCAACAAAGUACUGGAAAUUCUAACCAAUGCAAUAAGGAAAGAAAAGGCAUACAGACUGGAAAGAAGAAAUAAAACUGUCCCUAUUUGUAGAUGACA